rnacentral:rRNA from 1 species
AACGAACGCUGGCGGCAUGCCUAACACAUGCAAGUCGAACGAGACCUUCGGGUCUAGUGGCGCACGGGUGCGUACCGCGUGGGAACCUGCCCUUAGGUUCGGAAUCACUCCCCGAAAGGGGUGCUAAUACCGGAUAAUGUCUUCGGACCAAAGAGUUAUCGCCUUUGGAUGGGCCCUCGUUGGAUUAGCUAGUUGGUAGGGUAAAAGCCUACCAAGGCGACGAUCCAUAGCUGGUCUGAGAGGAUGAUCAGCCACACUGGGACUGAGACACGGCCCAGACUCCUACGGGAGGCAGCAGUGGGGAAUAUUGGACAAUGGGCGAAAGCCUGAUCCAGCAAUGCCGGGUAAGUGAGGAAGGCCUUAGGGUUGUAAAGCUCUUUUACCCGGGAUGAUAAUGACGGUACCGGGAGAAUAAGCUCCGGCUAACUCCGUG